rnacentral:rRNA from 1 species
UACGAAGGGUGCGAGCGUUGUUCGGAAUUACUGGGCGUAAAGGGUUUGUAGGCUGAAAUGUAAGUCAAGUGUGAAAUCCCCGAGCUAAACUUGGGACGUGCAUUUGAAACUGUGUUUCUUGAGUAUCGUAGAGGGUGGUGGAAUUGUAGGUGUAGGAGUGACAUCCGUAGAGAUCUGCAGGAACAUCAGAGGCGAAGGCGACCACCUGGCCGAUGACUGACGCUGAGGAACGAAAGCGUGGGGAGCGAACAGG